rnacentral:rRNA from 1 species
UGGCGUACGGGUGAGUAACACGUGGGUAAUCCACCUCUUAGUGAGGAAUAACCCUGGGAAAACCGGGGCUAAUACCGCAUAAGCCUGAGAAGGGAAAGCAGCAAUGCGCUGAGAGAGGAGCCCGCGGCCGAUUAGCUAGUUGGUGAGGUAAGAGCCCACCAAGGCAGAGAUCGGUAGCCGGCCUGAGAGGGCACACGGCCACACUGGCACUGAAACACGGGCCAG